CCUCGAGUUCAACAACUUGUUCAAUGCAGCCACGGCCAGCGAUUCCUCUUUCACACGGGAAGUUCUUGUUAAGCAGUGUGGUUCAACACUAUUUGGAGGUAUGAGUUCUCUGGUGGACGUUGGUGGUGGCACCGGGACAAUCGCCAGAGCAAUUUCCGAUGCAUUCCCCAAUGUGAAGUGCAGUGUUCUAGAACUGGCUCAUGUGGUGGAGGAAGCUCCGAAGGAUGGUAGAGUAGAAUUCAUUGCAGGCGAUAUGUUCCAACAUAUCCCACCAGCUGAUGGUGUUCUACUGAGGUUGAUCCUUCACGCCUGGGACGAUGAGGAUUGCGUGAAGAUACUCAGACGGUGCAAGGAGGCGAUACCGGCAAGGGGGGAAGGUGGGAAGGUGAUUAUAAUCGAUAUAGUGAUGGAAUCGAUGAACUCGCAUCCCAAAUCCAUGGAAACGCAGCUUUGCUGGGACAUGUACAUGAUGGUGGUAUGCAAGAGUCCUGAGAGGAGAGAAGAUGAGUGGAGGAAGAUAUUUGCUGAUGCAGGCUUCUCGGACUACAAGAUUACUCUUGCUCUGGGCCUUCGUUCAAUCAUUGAGCUCUAUCCGUGAAUUUUGCAUAUUCCGUUCAGCUAUAUCUGUAUUUUGG
rnacentral:misc_RNA from 1 species